rnacentral:rRNA from 1 species
UACGAAGGGGGCUAGCGUUGCUCGGAAUCACUGGGCGUAAAGCGCACGUAGGCGGAUUGUUAAGUCAGGGGUGAAAUCCUGGAGCUCAACUCCAGAACUGCCUUUGAUACUGAAGAUCUUGAGUCCGGGAGAGGUGAGUGGAACUGCGAGUGUAGAGGUGAAAUUCGUAGAUAUUCGCAAGAACACCAGUGGCGAAGGCGGCUCACUGGCCCGGUACUGACGCUGAGGCACGAAAGCGUGGGGAGCAAACAGGGAUUAGA